rnacentral:rRNA from 1 species
GACGAACGCUGGCGGCGUGCCUAAUACAUGCAAGUAGAACGCACAGUUUAUACCGUAGCUUGCUACACCAUAAACUGUGAGUUGCGAACGGGUGAGUAACGCGUAGGUAACCUGCCUGGUAGCGGGGGAUAACUAUUGGGAACGAUAGCUAAUACCGCAUAAUAUUGAUUAUUGCAUGAUAAUUGAUUGAAAGAUGCUAUUGCAUCACUACCAGAUGGACCUGCGUUGUAUUAGCUAGUAGGUGAGGUAACGGCUCACCUAGGCGACGAUACAUAGCCGACCUGAGAGGGUGAUCGGCCACACUGGGACUGAGACACGGCCCAGACUCCUACGGGAGGCAGCAGUAGGGAAUCUUCGGCAAUGGACGAAAGUCUGACCGAGCAACGCCGCGUGAGUGAAGAAGGUUUUCGGAUCGUAAAGCUCUGUUGUAAGAGAAGAACGGGUGUGAGAGUGGAAAGUUCACACUGUGACGGUAUCUUACCAGAAAGGGACGGCUAACUACGUG